AAGGGUUUAUCUUCCUCCUGCUCCUCCUUCUCUCCGUUUCCUGGCCAACCUGCUGUGAGCAGCUCUCCUCCUCCCAGGCCCUUCCACCUCGCCCUUCUCCCUGGGAAACACUGACCACGCAAGGACCUGGACUUCUAAACCUGAUUGGAACCCAGGACCUCACACAUGCAAGGGCCGCCCGAAGCCAUGCUCUUCCCGGCGGAGAGUGGGGGGGAACCGAGCCUCGCCAGCUGUUUUCUCCCGGACGCAGUGAACGGGCUGAUGCGUGAAUGUGGAAACCGCCAAGGCAGAAAUGAGCCCCGGCCUUCGACUCCCAGGAGGUCCAGCAAUGGGCCAUCAUCUCGGCCCAGCCCUAGACCCAGCCCUGGGCAAAGCCCCAGGCCCAGCCCCAGUUCCAGCCCUAGGUUCAGCUCCCGGCCCAGUACCCAGCCCACCUCCCCGUUGAGCCCUAGGCCCAAGCGUAGGUACAACCGUCCUCGUCAGCCUACCGGGCCUACUCAACAACUGAGCUGUGCCCCCCUCACCCACACCUUGGUUUCCCCCUGGGCUGAGCCUCCUUCCUGCAUCCCCACCCCUUUCCCCUGAAUGCCUGCAGAGCCCUGGAGUCCACGUACUGGGGACUGUCAUGCCUGACCUGAGUGAGACCUUCUCAGCAAACAUGCUGUCUUCAGCAAACAACAGGAAACCACUAAAGGUCCAUGCUGUCCUCAGAACAGAUGGCCAUAAAGAAAAUUGAGGAUAGGAUAUGCAAUCUCCCCACUGCAGAGAAGUUCAGUGUUACCUGCAUACCUGCCCUGACCGUCCCGAGAUCCCUGACCACAGCAUUCCCCCCAGAUUCCUUAAGACACCACCCCUCGCCAAGUCCUAUAAACUUUGCUUCUUCUCCAGCCAGUUGCUGACAUCUUUUUUGAUCUCAGCCCAUUUUCACCCUGGUGGAGAAUAAACCAACCUUUUGCUCACACAAAGCCUGUUUCCCUCAUUUUGGUUCAAACAAUUACAAAUACUUCCUAUGGAGUUUUUAAUUUCCUGAAUAUCUGUUUGAAUCUGUUUCAUGCGUUCCUUUUUUUUCUAUGUUGGGUGUUCAUGGUUUCCAUCGUAUUCCUAAGCUGUUCUGUUUUUUUUUAUCUGUACAUACUCUAGGUUCAUUGAGCAUGUCCUUCAUUUUAAUGCCAUCUCUUUUAUUACCUGGAAGAUUAUUUUCUCUAUAGCCUCAUCUAUUUGUUUUUUCAACUCUGCAGUCAUCAAUUCAGAAAGAUCCAGUGAGUGGCUUCCAUUUCCCUCUAUCUCAUUGUCCCCUGGACUUAUCCUUGGUGGGCUGGCUGUCUGAGGUUGUAUUUUGCUUCUGUGUCUUUUCAUUUUCUAGUUUUUUGUUUCAUUUUGUUUUCUGAGAUGUUGCUUGUAGGUUUCUUAUGGUAUAUAGCUUUAUUACUUAUAUUGAUGUUUCUCUAGGGAGUGUCUAUUCCUCAAGGAUGUCUUCUCAGCAGGUGGUUCUUGGUUUUUGUGUCUAUCUGGAGAUUCUACCUUCCUAAUUUGUUAAGGAUGCAUGGUUGGUAUCUAUUUAGCUCAGCACCCAGUCCUUUGAUAUUGGACUAAGUUGAUGGUUGUGACCUCAGACAAUCACAAUGUUGGCAUUUAAAGGAGAACUUCUGGUUACAACAGGUAUGACAUCCUUGCUAAAGUAAUACAGUUAUCAUUAAGAGUAACAUCCAGCACAGGUAGCAGCUGACAUACUGUGGUAUCUGUUAGUUUGGUACCUUUAACAAUAUAAGCAAGCUCUACUUUUUAUAACAAAAUCCAAUAUAAACCAGGCAUUUGUAUGCAAUAAUAUCCAAUCCAACAUAAAUCACCCUAGUACAGUGGUUAUACCCUGUAGGAGGGAAUUUGAGAGAGAUAGGGGACAAUACAGAGAUAUAAGUGAAAAGAAGAAUAGUAGCAGCAAGGCUCGAGGGCACAGAAUGAAUACCCAGGUUUUGGGAGACUGGAGAAAAGGGCAAGAGAAAAAGACUGCAGGAGAAAGCAAAAGAAUAUUGAGGUGAACCAGAAAGACAGGAGACACUGUUCACUCAUAUGAAAAUAUCAUAGAAUCAAGAAAGAUACCUUGGGAAAGAGAGAGAGAGAGGAUGAAUAAAACAGAACAAAACUUAAGGUAAAAAAACCUAAACAAUCACAGACAUUCACACACACUGACACGUAAAAAACAAUAGCAACAAUAAAAAACAAAACUAACACCCCCCAAUAAAAAUAUAAAAUGCAAAACCAGACAGAUAACAGAAAACAAAUCCAGGAGUCAAAGAAAAAGGAAUAUAAUAAAAUUCCUCAGGUGGCUUGCACACAUUUCCCCACCGAGGCUGUUUCCACGGUGCUCUCUUAGCUGUUUUGGCAUUCUUUGGUGGAGCCAAGCCUGAGGCUGCUUCCAGGUCGCUGCACUCUCUGUCCCUCUGGGAUCCUGCUCCUUCCUCAGUUCUUCUCCACUGACUAGUUCAGUGGUUGUGUGGGGGGCACCUCUAGUCCUUAGUGGCUACUGCUAUUCUGUAUAGUGCUGGUCUCCACUUUGGCUUUUCAGCAUCUUUACUCAGUCUAUGGUCCAGUUGCCUGUGAGGGAGCUCUUCCUUCUUUCACUCUGGCUGUUGGCAGUGAGGCCCUGGGGCUAUUUGGAGAGAAAGCCCUGAGGUUUUUUUUGUAACAAGAUGGCUGCCCCCACCCACUCUGUACCACGCAUGACUGUGUGGGGGCUCCAUUCCCCCCUCACUUACCAAAUGUUGACUCUGGGAGGGGUCACCUUGGAAAGCAGUUGCUCUUAUUCUCACUGCUGUCUCUGAUUACAUAAAAUUCUUUUGAUCCAAGUCUGAUUUCUGUUUCUCAGCAUACAGUGAAAUUACUUUUGCUGCUACACCUCAGAGUACAGCUGCCCCACCACACAGGCUCCCUCUGCAUCAGUGAGUGAUUUCUUUUGUAGUAAUGGAUCCUACUUUCUUCUUUUUCUCUAUCCCUUUCCUUGUGGUUCCUUAUGCCCUUCAUUCAGCCACUUUGAUCUCUGAGUUGUUAGUUUUCAGAUUCUGGGUGCUUUUAUUGCAGAUAGCUAGGUUAGUUAGAAAUUACUAUAAGGCACUUACACAAAGCUGGGCCCUCAGCAUAGAAAAACAAUUGAGACACAUAAAGGAGCAGCUGCCUGGAAAUAUUUGUUCCAGCCCUUGUUCACAAAGGGGAGCUCAGUAAUUUCCAUAGCUUUAUGGGACAUAUACCCCAAUAAACAUUGCUAAACAUAUUAUUGUGAUACAUUUACGUUGUCAUGGUCAAGAGACUUUUCUGUGGGAAAGCAAUAAAAUUUUAUUUAAAAUGCUCUUGGUAUAAAACUAAAUUAAGGGACAAAGGGUUUCCUACAACUGUGAUACUCAUUGUUAUUUCAUGGUGUACUAAAUAAAUUCAUGACUUCUGGGUGUACAAGUCUUCAUAGAUAUUGUUUAUGGAAAUAAUCUUUUAAAAUUCAUAACGGUAAUAAUCUUUUUUGACUCAGGUAUCUGCCUUUCUCUUGUGCUCCAGCUACUUGCGAUAACAGGUACAUGUCAAGCUUGCAUGAGAUAACCAGCAAAAUAAUAGUUUUUCUUAAAAACUUAUAUGAUGUAUAUGUUAUAUAUGUCACAACACUUAGGGGUGCUCUGACACCAAACAGUCCAAACAAUGUGACACACUAAAAUUCGAUGCUAGAUAUUAUAA